UACGUAGGGCGCAAGCGUUUGUCCGGAAUUAUUGGGCGUAAAGAGCUCGUAGGCGGUCUGUCGCGUCUGUUGUGAAAACUCGAGGCUCAACCUCGGGCUUGCAGUGGAUACGGGCAGACUAGAGUGCGGUAGGGGAGACUGGAAUUCCUGGUGUAGCGGUGGAAUGCGCAGAUAUCAGGAGGAACACCGAUGGCGAAGGCAGGUCUCUGGGCCGCAACUGACGCUGAGGAGCGAAAGCAUGGGGAGCGAACAGG
rnacentral:rRNA from 1 species